rnacentral:rRNA from 1 species
AUUGAACGCUGGCGGCAUGCUUUACACAUGCAAGUCGAACGAGUGGCGCACGGGUGAGUAAUACAUCGGAACGUGUCCUAUCGUGGGGGAUAACUGAUCGAAAGAUCAGCUAAUACCGCAUACGAUUGGAGCGGCCGAUGCCCGAUUAGCUAGUUGGUGAGGUAAAGGCUCACCAAGGCCACGAUGCAUAGCCGACCUGAGAGGGUGAUCGGCCACACUGGGACUGAGACACGGCCCAGACUCCUACGGGAGGCAGCAGUGGGGAAUAUUGCACAAUGGGCGCAAGCCUGAUGCAGCCAUGCCGCGUGUAUGAAGAAGGCCUUCGGGUUGUAAAGUACUUUCAGCGAGGAGGCGUUACUCGCAGAAGAAGCACCGGCUAACUCCGUGCCAACAGCCGCGGUAAUUC